GACACCCAACGCACAAUUUUCCCCAAAAAGAUUCACGAAAACAGCUGCUUGCCAAUAUUCCUUUGAAAACGACUGCAUGUUUGUGGCCCUUUUUCUGGAGGCUUGAGUCAACCAGAAGUCUAAACCUCGUUCAAUGGAUAAUAGCAAAUGAAACAGGCCGAUAGCACCACCCAGUGGACAAAGUCUUACGUAGCAGCAAAGCAAUUUGGACUUGUGGGGACUAAUUGACGAGUGCUGUGCCCGCUGUUACAAUCGAAGGUUUAUAUUUCAUCGGCAAAAUGGGCUUUUUUCAUCGCAGCUGUCUUGAGGUCGUCCCCGGAUGACCCCCUCGAGUUUGGAAAAAGCAACAAUCAAAUCACACAGAGCCCCGUCGGGUGGGUCGGGAGCUGUGCCAUGUGCUUCUCUGCCAGGAACUGUCAGAUGCUCACGGGACAUUGUAGCAGGUGUGCGCGUGGUCGUCAUGGUCAUCAAUUAUACAAUGAAGACGUCUGCUGCUGCUUUUUUUUUUUGAACCAAUCUGAACCAAUCACAUUUCAGAUUCAAUAAACACCUGCACCUGGCGGGCUUCCGCUGACGUCCUCUGAUUGGUUGAGAGCUAGUCGCCCGCAUUGCUUUCACACGAAGCCGGCGGCUGAGGAAGCUGGCGAACGUAACAAUUGUGGUUCAAAUUCAUUUUCAAGGCGGACUUUUCAAGACAAAGUGCGAAUUGUGAAAUUCCAUCGGACAACGCUUGUCGCUGGUAAACUUGGUUUCAACCUUUAUUUGCCACUUCAACAACCUCGUAGCUCGCUAGCGAGGACCCAACGCAGCUAGCGAAAGACGCUAGAGCUUGUCUAUAAAUAAUACGCAUCUCUGGCAGUGGAAAUAAAGGAGCGUCAUGUGCCUUUCCCACAAGUUACCAACGCUACUGGAAUGACGGAAAAGCGUCCAGCACACGCCACAGCAGAAAUGUUCAUGCGGGCCCACAAUGUGGAACAAGCUGACCUGGCCCGUCUGUACGUUUGAAAAGUUUCCGAUACGGAACUGGAAGUCGUCUUAUUUUCCAAGGUCCGUGUCGUGUGUGGACGAGCCGUCCGGGGCGCGUCCCCUGCUCUUGCCCGACGUCGGCCUCCGCAUCCGCGUGACGUCCACAACCCAUGUGCUGCGUGCGGACGAGGGAGAAAAGGUGAAGAACACAGUGCCCGAGCUGAAACGAUGCCAGUGUUACGUCUGGGGGCCUUUCAAAAGUAGCCGAGUCGCAUACCUUUGUGUUGACUCACUAUGAGUUACAUUCUCAUCAGCUGCACUUACUUCCAGGUGACCUCAAGAAAGCAGACUUCAACAUGUUCACUAGGCUUGCACCAAAGUCUACUGCUAAUCGAGCCCAAUGCUACGCACAACGUUUUGCAGCAGAGAGCGCUCGAGUUCAAAUGUUGACUUAACUGGAAGUUGAGCGUCUCUUGAGGGAGGAUGGUACAACCACUCAGAGACAGAAGGCGUGACAAGACGGCAAAUGAGUGACAUUGCAGAUUGAAAUUUGCAGACAUUUGGUGUGAAUGCGAGUGCAAAUGUUUGUUUCGACGUGCCCUGCGAUUGGCUGGCGACCAGUUCAGGGUGGACCCCGCCUCGCGCCCAGAGUCGGCUGGGAUAGGCCCCAGCACGCCCGCGACCCUAAUGAGGAGAAGCACUAUGGAAAAUGGAUGGAUUUUUUUUUUCUAGCUUGUUCCCGACACAUUGGGGUGGGGGGGGGCAGUGAGGUGGCUGCUGCCUCGCCUGACCACCCCCUGAGUCCGCCCAUCUUCUCUGCUGGUCUAAAUCUUAUCAGCUAUCACCCACAUUUACAACUUAAUUAAAUUGUUGAUAUUCAUAUUUAUUAUAUGUAUAAAAUAAUACUAUACGUAUUUAUUUAUUUCCAACAG